rnacentral:rRNA from 1 species
GGGUUGUGAGGUUAAGCGACUAAGCGUACACGGUGGAUGCCCUGGCAGUCAGAGGCGAUGAAGGGCGUGCUAAUCUGCGAUAAGCGCCGGUAAGGUGAUAUGAACCGUUAUAACCGGCGAUACCCGAAUGGGGAAACCCAGUGUGACUCGUCACACUAUCAUUAACUGAAUCCAUAGGUUAAUGAGGCGAACCGGGGGAACUGAAACAUCUAAGUACCCCGAGGAAAAGAAAUCAACCGAGAUUCCCCCACGUAGCGGCGAGCGAACGGGGAGGAGCCCAGAGCCUGAAUCAGCAUGUGUGUUAAGUGGAAGCGUCUGGAAAGGCGCGCGAUACAGGGUGACAGCCCCGUACACAAAAGCGCAUGUGCUGUGAGCUCGAUGAGUAGGGCGGGACACGUGGUAUCCUGUCUGAAUAUGGGGGGGACCAUCCUCCAAGGCUAAAUACUCCUGACUGACCGAUAGUGAACCAGUACGCGUACCUUUUGUAUAAUGGGUCAGCGACUUAUAUUCUGUAGCAAGGUUAACCGAAUAGGGGAGCCGGAGGGAAACCGAGUCUUAAUUGGGCGUUAAGUUGCAGGGUAUAGACCCGAAACCCGGUGAUCUAGCCAUGGGCAGGUUGAAGGUUGGGUAACACUAACUGGAGGACCGAACCGACUAAUGUUGAAAAAUUAGCGGAUGACCUGUGGCUGGGGGUGAAAGGCCAAUCAAACCGGGAGAUAGCUGGUUCUCCCCGAAAGCUAUUUAGGUAGCGCCUCGUGAAUUCAUCUCCGGGGGUAGAGCACUGUUUCGGCUAGGGGGCCAUCCCGGCUUACCAACCCGAUGCAAACUGCGAAUACCGGAGAAUGUUAUCACGGGAGACACACGGCGGGUGCUAACGUCCGUCGUGAAGAGGGAAACAACCCAGACCGCCAGCUAAGGUCCCAAAGUCAUGGUUAAGUGGGAAACGAUGUGGGAAGGCCCAGACAGCCAGGAUGUUGGCUUAGAAGCAGCCAUCAUUUAAAGAAAGCGUAAUAGCUCACUGGUCGAGUCGGCCUGCGCGGAAGAUGUAACGGGGCUAAACCAUGCACGAAGGUCGGCCUGUGAGGGUUGCUGGAGGUAUCAGAAGUGCCGAAUGCUGACAUAAGUAACGAUAAAGCGGGUGAAAAGCCCGCUCGCCGGAAGACCAAGGGUUCCUGUCCAACGUUAAUCGGGGCAGGGUGAGUCGACCCCUAAGGCGAGGCCGAAAGGCGUAGUCGAUGGGAAACGGGUUAAUAUUCCCGUACUUGGUGUUACUGCGAAGGGGGGACGGAGAAGGCUAUGUUGGCCGGGCGACGGUUGUCCCGGUUUAAGCGUGUAGGUGUGUGUUCCAGGUAAAUCCGGUUCACUUUAACACUGAGGCGUGACGACGAGGCACUACGGUGCUGAAGCAACAAAUGCCCUGCUUCCAGGAAAAGCCUCUAAGCAUCAGGUAACAUCAAAUCGUACCCCAAACCGACACAGGUGGUCAGGUAGAGAAUACCAAGGCGCUUGAGAGAACUCGGGUGAAGGAACUAGGCAAAAUGGUGCCGUAACUUCGGGAGAAGGCACGCUGACACGUAGGUGAAGUGAUUUACUCAUGGAGCUGAAGUCAGUCGAAGAUACCAGCUGGCUGCAACUGUUUAUUAAAAACACAGCACUGUGCAAACACGAAAGUGGACGUAUACGGUGUGACGCCUGCCCGGUGCCGGAAGGUUAAUUGAUGGGGUCAGCGCAAGCGAAGCUCCUGAUCGAAGCCCCGGUAAACGGCGGCCGUAACUAUAACGGUCCUAAGGUAGCGAAAUUCCUUGUCGGGUAAGUUCCGACCUGCACGAAUGGCGUAAUGAUGGCCAGGCUGUCUCCACCCGAGACUCAGUGAAAUUGAACUCGCUGUGAAGAUGCAGUGUACCCGCGGCAAGACGGAAAGACCCCGUGAACCUUUACUAUAGCUUGACACUGAACAUUGAGCCUUGAUGUGUAGGAUAGGUGGGAGGCUUUGAAGUGUGGACGCCAGUCUGCAUGGAGCCGACCUUGAAAUACCACCCUUUAAUGUUUGAUGUUCUAACGUGGACCCGUUACCCGGGUUGCGGACAGUGUCUGGUGGGUAGUUUGACUGGGGCGGUCUCCUCCUAAAGAGUAACGGAGGAGCACGAAGGUUGGCUAAUCCUGGUCGGACAUCAGGAGGUUAGUGCAAUGGCAUAAGCCAGCUUGACUGCGAGCGUGACGGCGCGAGCAGGUGCGAAAGCAGGUCAUAGUGAUCCGGUGGUUCUGAAUGGAAGGGCCAUCGCUCAACGGAUAAAAGGUACUCCGGGGAUAACAGGCUGAUACCGCCCAAGAGUUCAUAUCGACGGCGGUGUUUGGCACCUCCCAAGGGUAUGGCUGUUCGCCAUUUAAAGUGGUACGCGAGCUGGGUUUAGAACGUCGUGAGACAGUUCGGUCCCUAUCUGCCGUGGGCGCUGGAGAACUGAGGGGGGCUGCUCCUAGUACGAGAGGACCGGAGUGGACGCAUCACUGGUGUUCGGGUUGUCAUGCCAAUGGCACUGCCCGGUAGCUAAAUGCGGAAGAGAUAAGUGCUGAAAGCAUCUAAGCACGAAACUUGCCCCGAGAUGAGUUCUCCCUGAGACUUAAAGUCUCCUGAAGGAACGUUGAAGACGACGACGUUGAUAGGCCGGGUGUGUAAGCGCAGCGAUGCGUUGAGCUAACCGGUACUAAUGAACCGUGAGGCUUAACCUUACAACGCCGAAG